GAUGAAGAACGUAGCGAAAUGCGAUAAGUAAUGUGAAUUGCAGAAUUCAGUGAAUCAUCGAAUCUUUGAACGCACAUUGCGCCCCUUGGUAUUCCGAGGGGCAUGCCUGUUCGAGCGUCAUAUUAACCACUCCCGCUUGCGGGGUCUUGGGCUUCGCCUCCGGGCGGGCCUUAAAAUCAGUGGCGGUGCCGUCGGGCUCUACGCGUAGUAAAUUUUCUCGCGAUAGGGUCCCGGUGGAUGCUUGCCAACAACCCCCACCUUCUUCAGGUUGACCUCGGAUCAGGUAGGGAUACCCGCUGAACUUAAGCAUAUCAAUAAGCGGAGGA
rnacentral:misc_RNA from 1 species